AUUGAACGCUGGCGGCAUGCUUUACACAUGCAAGUCGAACGGUAACAGGUUAAGCUGACGAGUGGCGCACGGGUGAGUAAUGCAUCGGAACGUGCCCGGUCGUGGCGGAUAACGCAGCGAAAGCUGCGCUAAUACCGCAUACGAUCUGAGGAUGACAGCGGGCGACCGUCAGGCCCCGCGCGAUCGUAGCGGCCGAUGGCAGAUUUGGUAGUUGGUGGGGUAAAGGCUCACCAAGCCAACGAUCUGUAGCUGGUCUGAGAGGACGACCAGCCACACUGGGACUGAGACACGGCCCAGACUCCUACGGGAGGCAGCAGUGGGGAAUUUUGGAGAAUGGGCGAAAGCCUGAUCCAGCAAUGCUGCGUGCAGGAAGAAGGCCUUCGGGUUGUAAACUGCUUUUGUACGGAGCGAAAAGGUCUCCUCUAAUACAGGGGGCUCAUGACGGUACCGUAAGAAUAAGCACCGGCUAACUACGUGCCAGCCGCCGCCGUAA
rnacentral:rRNA from 1 species